rnacentral:rRNA from 1 species
ACGGAGGAUCCGAGCGUUAUCCGGAUUUAUUGGGUUUAAAGGGAGCGUAGGCGGACGCUUAAGUCAGUUGUGAAAGUUUGCGGCUCAACCGUAAAAUUGCAGUUGAUACUGGGUGUCUUGAGUACAGUAGAGGCAGGCGGAAUUCGUGGUGUAGCGGUGAAAUGCUUAGAUAUCACGAAGAACUCCGAUUGCGAAGGCAGCCUGCUGGACUGUAACUGACGCUGAUGCUCGAAAGUGUGGGUAUCAAACAG